rnacentral:tRNA from 1 species
GGGGGCUUAGCUCAGUUGGUAGAGCGCCUGUUUUGCAAACAGGAGGUCGCGGGUUCGAACCCCGCAGUUUCCA